UUUCAGCGUAGUAGAGGAUUUAAGCAGAUCGCUUUGCCUAUUUUAAUUAUAUGAAAUACCAGGAGGUCAGAUGUUUAACCUCUUUCAACAUAUCUGUUUCUUUUCCUGCAGAAACAGAUGAUUAUGCUGAGAUUAUAGAUGAAGAAGAUACUUACACCAUGCCCUCAACCAGGGAUUAUGAGAUUCAAAGAGAAAGAAUAGAACUUGGACGAUGUAUUGGAGAAGGCCAAUUUGGAGAUGUACAUCAAGGCGUUUAUAUGAGUCCAGAGAAUCCAGCUUUGGCGGUUGCAAUUAAAACAUGUAAAAACUGUACUUCGGACAGCGUGAGAGAGAAAUUUCUUCAAGAAGCCUUAACAAUGCGUCAGUUUGACCAUCCUCAUAUUGUGAAGCUGAUUGGAGUCAUCACAGAGAAUCCUGUCUGGAUAAUCAUGGAGCUGUGCACACUUGGAGAGGUACUGUGAUCCCCAAAUCUUACCUUCUGGACUCAGUGUUUGAUAUCUUUUGCUUAAGAAAGGAAAAUAUAAACAGUUUAUAUCUUGGAUUUUCAGGAGAGUUCUGAUUUAGGAUGUAUGUCAUUAUGGUUUUGGUUCAGAGAAUAUGGGUAUAAAUAUCUUCAUCAUUAAAUUCCCAAAGCAUCACCUUAUGCAGUACUGGCAGCAAUAUCUUCCCCAGCCAAGUACUUUAUCAGGACUGGUAGCAGCAGAUGGCCAAAUGUUUGGUUUUAUUUUUUCUCUCUGGUGCCAUUGCCCAAAAAACUAGCCC
rnacentral:sRNA from 1 species